UUGAGAUUUCUAUAAUGAUUCAUCAUUUAUAUAUUGGUCUAUUUGAUCAAUCAUCCUAAUAAUAUAAUUUUCCUUUCAUUCAUAGGUUCUACCACGUGACAAGAUACCAGUUCUUCAUCUUGAGAAGGCUAUUGUGCGAAGGCUAUCGUGUGUAUUUUGAUGAGAAAACAUCAGGAAAAAACUCAUAAGAUGCAAUAAGAGAUACUUUGUUAGAAUUGUAUUCUGAUAAAGCAUAGUUUGAAACUAUAGACGAAUUAGUCAUCAAGAAUUGAUAGGACAAACUAAUGUGGCAAUUGACAAUGUUAUUGAAAAUGUUCCAUUGCUCUCUGCAUUAAUCUCGGAUAGUUACGACAGAAGAACUUACAUCACAGUUCUUGAUCUUAAGAAGACUAUGGAGCGACACAUGUGUUUAUCUUUUGUAAGGGAAACGUCCGGAAGAUAAUAAAUUACAAGCACAUUGGAUGAAAUAUCAUCUUUUUUACAACAUAUUAAACUUCUUUGUAACAAUGAAAAUGAUGUGAUAUAUGGUGUUAUAAAUUCAGCUGAAUUAUAUUUUAUGACGAAACGUCAAAUGUAAAAUAAAUUGGAAAGAAGUUAAUAUCUUGAAACAAUUUA